rnacentral:rRNA from 1 species
CAAUAGCGUAUAUUAAAGUUGUUGCAGUUAAAAAGCUCGUAGUUGGAUUUCGGGGUGGCCUGGCUGGUCCGCCGCAAGGUGAGUACUGGUCAGCCGCCCUUCCUCUCGAAAGCCCCGACUGCUCUUUACUGCAGUGGUCGGGUAGUUCGGGACGUUUACUUUGAAAAAAUUAGAGUGUUCAAGGCAGGCUAUCGCCUGAAUACAUUAGCGUGGAAUAAUGGAAGAGGACCUCGGUCCUAUUUUGUUGGUUUCUAGGGCCGAAGUAAUGAUUAAGAGGGACAGUUGGGGGCAUUCGUAUUUAAUUGUCAGAGGUGAAAUUCUUGGAUUUAUGAAAGACGAACUAGUGCGAAAGCAUUUGCCAAGGAUGUUUUCAUUAA